rnacentral:rRNA from 1 species
GACAGAGGGUGCAAACGUUGUUCGGAAUUACUGGGCGUAAAGCGCGUGUAGGUGGCUCGGAAAGUCGGGUGUGAAAGCCCUGGGCUCAACCCAGGAAGUGCACUCGAAACUCCCGAGCUCGAGUCCCGGAGAGGAAAGUGGAAUUCUCGGUGUAGAGGUGAAAUUCGUAGAUAUCGAGAGGAACAUCUGUGGCGAAGGCGGCUUUCUGGACGGUGACUGACGCUGAGACGCGAAAGCGUGGGGAGCAAACAGG